rnacentral:rRNA from 1 species
UACGAAGGGUGCGAGCGUUAUUCGAAAUUACUGGGCGUAAAGAGUGCGUAGACGGUAAAUUAAGUUCGUUGUUAAAGACUCUAGCCUAACUGGAGGGUUGCAAUGAAAACUGGUUCACUGGAGGGUGAGAGAGAGAAGUGGAAUUCCCGGAGUAGCGGUAAAAUGCGUGGAUCUCGGGAGGAACACCAAUGGCGAAGGCAGCUUCUUGGCUCAUUCCUGACGUUGAGGCACGAAAGCGUGGGGAGCAAACAGG